rfam:Trichosporon asahii var. asahii CBS 8904 unplaced genomic scaffold scaffold00190, whole genome shotgun sequence.
GGUCUGAUCGUAUAACGGUUAGUACACAAGAUUCUGACUCUGUCGCGUCGUUCUUGUAAUCUGGGUUCGAUUCCCAGUCGGACCU